rnacentral:tRNA from 1 species
GUGGGUAUAGCUCAGUUGGUUAGAGCGCCAGAUUGUGGCUCUGGAGGUCCUGGGUUCGACUCCCAGUACUCACCCCA